CAGCUUUUGAUACUAGCUAUUGAAGUUGGGUCCGAUGAGUUUGUCGCUAUCCAACAAUGAAUGGAGGGAUAGUAUAUUGGCUAUAACUGGAAGGAAAACAUAAGCAUAUUAGUAUAUAAAUUACUUUUUAAUCCCAAAGAUAUGGACUUUAGUUUAAAGGUUCUCCCAUUAUUUUUACGAAUUGGUAGCCUCUACCUUCAACUCGAAAAAUUACAUUAAUUCUUGAGCA
rnacentral:lncRNA from 1 species